rnacentral:rRNA from 1 species
AUUGAACGCUGGCGGUACGCCUUACACAUGCAAGUCGAACGGCAGCACGGGAGCAAUCCUGGUGGCGAGUGGCGAACGGGUGAGUAAAGUAUCGGAACGUGCCCAGUCGUGGGGGAUAACGUAGCGAAAGUUACGCUAAUACCGCAUACGAUCUAUGGAUGAAAGCGGGGGAUCGCAAGACCUCGCGCGAUUGGAGCGGCCGAUAUCAGAUUAGGUAGUUGGUGGGGUAAAGGCUCACCAAGCCGACGAUCUGUAGCUGGUCUGAGAGGACGGCCAGCCACACUGGGACUGAGACACGGCCCAGACUCCUACGGGAGGCAGCAGUGGGGAAUUUUGGACAAUGGGCGAAAGCCUGAUCCAGCCAUGCCGCGUGCAGGAUGAAGGCCUUCGGGUUGUAAACUGCUUUUGUACGGAACGAAAAGGUUUGGCCUAAUAAGCUGAGCUCAUGACGGUACCGUAAGAAUAAGCACCGGCUAACUACGUGCCAGCAGCCGCGGUAA